GCGCAUAUAGCUCAGCUGGAUAGAGCGUCUGGCUACGGACCAGAAGGUCGGGGGUUCGAAUCCUCUUGUGCGCA
rnacentral:tRNA from 1 species